rnacentral:tRNA from 1 species
GCCAGCGUAGCUUAAACAAAGCAUGGCACUGAAGCCGCCAAGAUGGGCUGUAAAAAGCCCCGCUAGCA